GAAUUUUGGACAAUGGGGGAAACCCUGAUCCAGCCAUCCCGCGUGUAUGAUGAAGGCGUUCUGGUUGUAAAGUACUUUUGGCAGAGAAGAAAAGGUAUCCGCUAAUACGGGAUACUGCUGACUGUAUCUGCAGAAGAAGCACCGGCUCAGUACGUGCCAGCCGCCGCGGUAAUACACAGGGUGCAAGCGUUACUCGGAAUUACUGGGCGUAAAGCGUGUGUAGGCGGUGCGGAAAGAAAGAUGUGCAAGCCGAGGGCUCCACCUUGGAACUGCAUUUUUAACUGCCGAGCUAGAGUAUGUCAGAGGGGGGUAGAAUUCCACGUGUAGCAGUGAAAUGCGUAGAUAUGUGGAGGAAUACCGAUGGCGAAGGCAGCCCCCUGGGAUAAUACUGACGCUCAGACACGAAAGCGUGGGGAGCAAACAGG
rnacentral:rRNA from 1 species